CUACGGGUGGCACCAGUUAGGAAUAAUCUACAAUGCGCGCAAGCGUGAUAGUUUGAGCCAGAGUGUUUUUCUAUUUGAAAAGCUUUUGCCGAAUGUAAAAAGUUCGGCGAAUAAGGACUGGGUAAGACGAGUGCCAGCCGCCGCGGUAAUACUCGCGGUCCAAGUCGCAGCCAUUUUUAUUGGGUCUAAAACAUCCGUAGCUUGCUUGAUAAGUUUCCUGUGAAAUCCGGCUUCUUAAGAGUUGGGCGGGCAGGAAGUACUGUUAAGCUAGAGACUGGGAGACGUAAGAAGUACGUUUAAAGUAACGGUAAAAUGUGUUAAUCUUAAACGGACUAACAACAGCGAAGGCAUCUUACGAGAACAGUUCUGACAGUCAGGGAUGAAGGCUAGGGGCGCAAAACGGAUUAGAUACCCGAGUAGUC
rnacentral:rRNA from 1 species